rnacentral:tRNA from 1 species
GGUCCCGUAGUGCAGCUUGGAGUGCACGCCGCCCUGUCAAGGCGGAGGUCGCGGGUUCAAAUCCCGUCGGGACCG